rnacentral:rRNA from 1 species
GACGAACGCUGGCGGCGCGCUUAACACAUGCAAGUCGAACGGAAAGGCCUGCUUUCCCUUGUGGAUUGCGGGUACUCGAGUGGCGAACGGGUGAGUAACACGUGAGUGAUCUGCCCCCAACUUGGGUAUAAGCCUGGGAAACUGGGUCUAAUUCCCGAUAGGACUGCAGGGUGGUGCCUGUGGUGGAAAACGAUUUUCUAGUGGUUGGGGAUGAGCUCGCGGCCUAUCAGCUUGUUGGUGGGGUAAUGGCCUACCAAGGCGGCGACGGGUAGCCGGCCUGAGAGGGUGGACGGCCGCAUUGGGACUGAGAUACGGCCCAGACGGCUACGGGAGGCAGCAGUGGGGAGUAUUGCACAAUGGGCGGAAGCCUGAUGCAGCGACGCCGCGUGGGGGAUGACGGCAUUCGGGUUGUAAACUCCUUGCGACCGCGAGGAAGCCACCUGGUUGGAAGGGUGGUGACGGUAGUGGUAGAAGAAGCACCGGCUAACUACGUG